UACGAAGGGGCUAGCGUUGCUCGGAAUCACUGGGCGUAAGCGCACGUAGGCGGAUUGCUAAGUCAGGGGUGAAAUCCUGGAGCUCAACUCCAGAACUGCCUUUGAUACUGGCGAUCUCGAGUCCGGGAGAGGUGAGUGGAACUGCGAGUGUAGAGGUGAAAUUCGUAGAUAUUCGCAAGAACACCAGUGGCGAAGGCGGCUCACUGGCCCGGUACUGACGCUGAGG
rnacentral:rRNA from 1 species